UAACACUUUUAUCACAGAGUGCUGAGGAAGCUCAGAAAAAGGUUAAAUAAUCCAAGUUCUACAAAAUCAUAUUUGAACUUCUUGGAAUGAGGGGACCACAUCUUUCAAUUAUGAAUGUCCAAAGGAUAAAAUCUACUUGACAUGGGAUAAGCAGUACAAACAUUUAAUAUAUGAAAUAAACGUGACCAUGUAUGGCAGAGAGAUGGGAGGAUGCAUGAAUGGGUCUGUAAAGAUUGUCUUAAGGAAAGAGACCAUGUCUUUGUAACCCCAAUGCCUCAAGCACACUUGAUCCAUCAUAUGUAUUUUGAAUGAGUAAAUGAAUGAAGGAAGCAAUCAUUCACUUACCUAGUAACAAGAAGUUAAAUUGGCAUGGUAAAAAAUGAAGAGAUAGAAGAGGAAACACACAAUCAUGGUUGACUCUGGAUAUAAACUGCAAAAGAAUAUUGCUUUGCAGAAUUUUUGAAUUUACUUAAUCACAGAUAAUCCUUCUCUGAGAACUCUCUAAAGGAGGGGAGAGGGUCAGGGAUGGUAUGCUCAUAUAAUACUUAAAAAAGAUUUAUUGGUUGGUUGUGUGUACACGGUCCUCUGGAACCAGCUCAUCUAAAGACAGAUACCUUCCUGACAUUACUCAAGGACAAAAGAAGCAAAGUCAAAUCAAGAACCCUUAUCUUCCUCCUCCAUGUCCAAAGAAUUCUAGGCCUGAAUAUAAAAUAUCGCCUCUUAAUCUUUACAGUGGUCACCACUCCAUCUUGCUUACCAUCUUCUGUAGACUCUGCCUCUCAAAGCCUCCACUUAUUCUCAAUGAGACUUCCCUUUUGAUUCCAUCCCUGCCUAAUCUCUGAAAGAUGACUGUCAAACAUGUAUUGGUAGCACAGCUAUAGCCAUCUCCCUACCACCACACCACUCCUCAUCCAUUCCCAGAGACUAGAUCUGGAACAUAUGCUCAUCCAGGAAGUGUCCUAACCAUUUCCAUGGUCAUAGGAGAUAAAUGGAGAAACAAAACUCAAUGAAUCAGUUGAGAAACAGGUAAGAUUGUUGUUUUGGUCACACGCAUAGGAACCUCCCUCUCCUAACCCUGCCAACCAGGGUUUUAGUCAAUGGAAAAGUCAUCUAAAAAAUCUGCAAUAUGUCCAUAACUACACCCUGAGAAAGCCUGCCUGACAAGAAACAUGGUGACAAAAUGCUACAUGCUUAACUACAGUCCCCAAGUCAUCUUUCACAACUGUGGGAGUUAGUCACAGAAAAGUAGACCUGCUGAGCAAGCCAUUGACUUUUAUCUUUAGACUGCAACUGCUAUUCAUCAGCAUCAAUAUUUUAGAGUUUAAUCAACUCAGCCCUAGUCUGAGUCCAGAACAUCUACAUCAUCAUGAGGACUUACCGCAUCCUGACAGCUGAGGACCUCCAAAAUGCUGUUGAGUAAUUCAACACAGUACUUCUUCUCCUGGACCUGGUGUUGCAUCUCGUCCUUCUGUUCCAGUAGCUCCUUCAAUUCUUUGGUGAUGACAGGAAGCAGAAUGUCUCGGCAUUCUGGAAUGAAAGCAUUUCAGAGGCAUUUGAGUUUCCUCAGUUUUGGGUUUCUCUUCUUUUUUAACGAUAAUUUUCACUAA